rnacentral:rRNA from 1 species
UUUAAUUUCCCGAAUUAAAAAGAUUUAAUUAUUUAUGUUAGUUAUUGUUGUAAAAUUAUUAAAAAUAAAUAAUUAGAAGUGAAAUGUUAGACGAUUUUUAAGAUAUCUGGUUUUUUCAGAAAUGAAUUUAAUUCAGUUUUAUAAUUUAUUAAAAUAAAUAAUCUAAUUUUAUUAAUAAUAUAAAUAAAAAAUAUUUGGGUAAGCUAGAUAUUAUAUAAUAAUUUAUUUAUUUAGAAAAUUAAUGUGUUCUUAAAAGUGGAAUUCGUUAAAAAUAGUUUUAUAACUUAGAUUAUUUCAUAAUGAUUUAAAUAUCUAAAAAAAUUUUAUAUAAAUAUGAAAAUGUUAAAUUUAAUUAGUAAAUUUAAGUAAUAAUGAUUAUAUUAGUAAAAUAAAAUGUAAUAUUAAAUAAUUUUAAAAUUUAAUUUAAGGAAUUAGACAAAAUAAAUAUUCACCUGUUUAUCAAAAACAUGUCUUAUAGAUAAUAAUUAUAAGUCUUUCCUGCCCGGUGAGUUUUUAACGGCAGCGGUAUACUGACCGUAUUAAGGUAGCAUAAUAGAUUGGUUUUUAAUUGAAAUCUGGAAUGAAAGGAAGAAUGAAAUAUUAAUUGUCUCAAAUUAAAAAUUGAAUUUAAAUUGAGAGUAAAAAUGCUUUUAUUUCAUUAAAAGACGAGAAGACCCUAUAGAAUUUUAUAUUAAAUGUUAAAUUUAAUUAUUGUAGUAUUAAAUAAGUCUAUUUAAAAUUUUAUAUUUAGUUGGGAGGAUUAUUAAAUUUAAAGAACUUUAAUUUAUAAUAACAAAGAUUAUGAAUAUAUGAU